CAGCAGCCGCGGUAAUACGGAGGGUGCAAGCGUUAAUCGGAAUUACUGGGCGUAAAGCGUGCGUAGGCGGUUCGUUAAGUCUGUUGUGAAAUCCCCGGGCUCAACCUGGGACCUGCAUUUGUGACUGUAUAGCUAGAGUACGGUAGAGGGGGAUGGAAUUCCGCGUGUAGCAGUGAAAUGCGUAGAUAUGCGGAAGAACACCGGUGGCGAAGGCGGCGACCUGGUCCAUUACUGACGCUGAGGCGCGAAAGCGUGGGGAGCAAACAGGAUUAGAUACCCCAGUAGUCCCUGUCUCUUAUAC
rnacentral:rRNA from 1 species